UGUUAAUAAAGCUCAAGAAUUGAAUUUAUUAUAUAAUUUUCUCAUGAAUCUUUUUGGUUUCUAAAUUGAAAUGACAUUUAUCACGUCACAAUAUAAUAGUAUCAUUCCAGUAUUUUAUCAAAUUUUAGUAUUAAAAAUAUGUCUUUCAAGAUGCACGUUAUCCAUGUAACAAGACGAAGCCGUUUAUCAUGCAAAGGGAAGAUAUCGACUCUGGCUAUCGAUAUGCUUUUCUCUAACUGAAAUGUUUUCCGAUAUCGUGUACACAUGCAAGUUGCCAAACACAUCUAUCCGAUAAAGAAUAUCAAUAUUACCGUUGUUUGAAUAAGAGUACGAAAAUUGUAGACUGACGUGUCCAUCUGGAUAAGAUUCAUACAAAAAAGAAAAAAAAACAACGAAUAUGUACUUUACAGAUUGCACCUAUAAAAAAAAACAAAAAUUUAAAACAAAGAUUGACCUAAACGAUGAAAAGAAGCUCAAAAUUGAUUGUCUUCCGUUUCUAAUAAAUCACUCAGAUUUUCGGAUGUUUUUCAAACUUUUUAUAUUUUAUAUACAAUAUAUAGAGUAAUCUUCUGAUAAAAAUUGCUACUAAUUUUCCAUUCUCUUAACUUUAUGUUCCAUAUUUAUAUCUACUUUUCCAGAGUAAUUAACAUAUUAAAGUAUAGUUCAAUCAGUCUAUUAGAAAUUUAUUAACGUCUAAUUAAUUAAGAAUAUUCCAUUUUAUUUGCCUUUCUUUCGUGUUAUCCUUACA